AAGUACGAACGGUAAACGAGGUCGUUCGGAUGCUGACGAGUGGCGAACGGGUGGAGUAAUACAUCGGAACGGUGCCCGACGUCUGGGGGAGUAACGCAGCGAAAGACUGUGCUAAUACCGCAUACGAUCUACGGAGUGAAAGCGGGGAGUCGCAAGACCUCGCGCGGACGGAGCGGCCGAUGGCAGAUUAGGUAGUUGGUGGGGUAAAGGCUCACCAAGCCUUCGAUCUGUAGCUGGUCUGAGAGGACGACCAGCCACACUGGGACUGAGACACGGCCCAGACUCCUACGGGAGGCAGCAGUGGGGAAUUUUGGACAAUGGGCGCAAGCCUGAUCCAGCCAUGCCGCGUGCAGGAUGAAGGCCUUCGGGUUGUAAACUGCUUUUGUACGGAACGAAAAGGUUUUCUUUAAUAAAGAGAGCCCAUGACGGUACCGUAAGAAUAAGCACCGGCUAACUACGUG
rnacentral:rRNA from 1 species